AAAGAAAGAAAGAAAGAAAGAAAGAAAGAAAGAAAGAAAGAAGAAAGAAAGAAAGAAAGAAGAAAGAAAGAAAGAAAGAGAGAAAGAAAGAAAGAAAGAAAGAAAGAAAGAAAGAAAGAAAGAAAGAAAGAAAGAAAUGAUAUAAUCUUGCUGCAUAUGCAGUUGUUCACAGUAAGUCUUCCAAGUUUGUUGUAUGCUUAAAAUUUUAACAUAAAAAGCUGGAAGAAAAAAGGAGAAGGAGGAGCAGGAGAUGGAAGAUUAUUUCAUCAAAUAGCUUCUCUUUCCUUAUUUCUCCCCUUCAUGGAAGUACUAUUUAUAGUGAAAUGCAGUAUUCAUAUCUCUGAAAAAUAAAGAAGAGGGAAUGAGCAGGACAUGAUUACAAAUGAUGCCUCCAUUAAGAAUUUCCAUCUUUUUUAUGUUUCAGGUUUAAAUUUAUGCACUAUGACUCAGGGAAAGAAAGAAUGUAGGUGUAGGGGUGCCCCACUCAUUUCCAGCCUGAAGCGGGAUCACUCUGUGCACACCCCAGGGACCUCUACAAAAGCCUGUACCUGGCUCAGGAGGACCUCCUGCCCCUUCACUAGGACUGAAACACAAACUAUUCACAUGGAGAAGGAAGGUCCUGUCCUCACAGUCAUGAGAUGGGCAGAUGCCAUGGUCUAGCUCCAGGACAUAUGCUGUAUGGAUUUUCUUCUCCAGAAAUGAUGACAUGGUAAGGUAACAAACACCUCUGUGAUGGCAAGGAUUUCUGGUGCACAGUUUGUCUAUGGAAUUUACAACAAUCUUAGAUGCAAAAAGACCUACCU
rnacentral:lncRNA from 1 species